AGAGUUUGAUCCUGGCUCAGAUUGAACGCUGGCGGCAUGCCUUACACAUGCAAGUCGAACGGCAGCACGGAGCUUGCUCUGGUGGCGAGUGGCGAACGGGUGAGUAAUAUAUCGGAACGUACCCUAGAGUGGGGGAUAACGUAGCGAAAGUUACGCUAAUACCGCAUACGAUCUAAGGAUGAAAGUGGGGGAUCGCAAGACCUCAUGCUCGUGGAGCGGCCGAUAUCUGAUUAGCUAGUUGGUAGGGUAAAAGCCUACCAAGGCAUCGAUCAGUAGCUGGUCUGAGAGGACGACCAGCCACACUGGAACUGAGACACGGUCCAGACUCCUACGGGAGGCAGCAGUGGGGAAUUUUGGACAAUGGGCGAAAGCCUGAUCCAGCAAUGCCGCGUGAGUGAAGAAGGCCUUCGGGUUGUAAAGCUCUUUUGUCAGGGAAGAAACGGUGAGAGCUAAUAUCUCUUGCUAAUGACGGUACCUGAAGAAUAAGCACCGGCUAACUACGUGCCAGCAGCCGCGGUAAUACGUAGGGUGCAAGCGUUAAUCGGAAUUACUGGGCGUAAAGCGUGCGCAGGCGGUUUUGUAAGUCUGAUGUGAAAUCCCCGGGCUCAACCUGGGAAUUGCAUUGGAGACUGCAAGGCUAGAAUCUGGCAGAGGGGGGUAGAAUUCCACGUGUAGCAGUGAAAUGCGUAGAUAUGUGGAG
rnacentral:rRNA from 1 species